UACGUAGGGACCGAGCGUUGUCCGGAUUCAUUGGGCGUAAAGAGCUCGUAGGCGGCUGUUCAAGUCGAACGUGAAAACUCGGAGCUCAACUCCGAGCCUGCGUUCGAUACUGGACGGCUAGAGUCUGGUAGGGGGAUCUGGAAUUCCUGGUGUAGCGGUGAAAUGCGCAGAUAUCAGGAAGAACACCCGUGGCGAAGGCGGUUCUCUGGGACGGUACUGACGCUGAGACGCGAAAGCGUGGGGAGCGAACAGG
rnacentral:rRNA from 1 species